UAUAUUUUCUCUAUUUUUUUUCUUAUGAAAUGAUAAAGCUACCCAUUGGAGUAACUUUUAUUUGGCUCCCUAGAAGCUAGCCGUCUGGGUAUCAUUUGCUAUCAGGCCCUUAUAAGUUAUAAUAGUCUACUGCAGACCAGGUCCAGAACAUGACCUACUCAUAGAAGCACAGAGUCGGGUACAUUGGUUUAACCCAGACAAAGAUGAAAUGCCACUAGUAAGGUAGACUGCUCGAAAGCAAACUGUUAGGAAAAUAUUAGCAGCCCUUACAUCAAGGAACACAGUAGCUAGGUCGUUACCAACUCUAGUUACACCCCUGCCCCAACCAUCGGUUGCUGACUCCGGCAACUUUGGGACCGAUCAGUGAACCUAACCCGUCUUGCACUUGGUUCUGCCCACUGGGCAGAACCACUCUGCUUCACUGGGGCAAUUUUCUGGCAUUUGGACCUCGCUCUUGCCUGGUCGAGGAAGGCGCUAAUUUCCAGACCGUAUUGCUGCCUUUAUCUUCCGCAUCCUCCUCUCGGUGGCGAUCUCGGUCCUUAACUGUGAGGUCCGACUAGUUAGUUUUUUUUGCUCCGCCCUUUGCAGUUCACCAUUAUUGGUAAUGUUGAGGAAUAGCUGCCCUUUUUCUGAACUCACAAUGCAUGGGCAUUCUGGGUGUUGAUCUGGGACUUUCUGUAAGGCUGACUUUUCUAUCUCCCACUCCUCUUUGUGUCUUGGUUUAGCUAUCACCUCCGCGGCUACUUAAGUUAUUACAGUGUGGUUGGAUGCGGUGUUGGUCUAGCUACCUAGUUAGUUAUCUCCUUUCGAUGAGUGUCCUCUUCAUUCUGGUCCCAUUGUCGGUCCCAUUGCUUGAUUUAUGGUUCCUCGCAUUUUCUCCAUUUUCUUCCCUCUCCGAUCUUCUAUAUGAUCUCAUAUAUUCCGGAACAAUUCGUCUUACUGGAGGAUUUCUUUGGUUGUCCUUAAGCCCGCGAGUCAUGUACUGGCAUCUUCUAGGUCUUCCCGGAUUUGGGGACAUUCUUGCCUUUGAACAGAGCACUAUCUUUUUCGGGUUUUCCUCCCUUUGGUUUGAACCACGCUCCCAUGAUAUUUUUUGUUUACUUUGAUCUGUAUUGUGUGCUGCUUUUUCGGUUGAUGGAAAACAGAGAGGGGAGUGUCCACGUCUUGGCCUACUUCAAUGGCUCGCAGCUAGUCCACAUGUCUGCAUGCCAGUGUUCAGGUUCUUCCCAGGAUGGCCUUGUUCAGGUUCCUAUCCAAUCUGCGCAGUUCUUUCGCAGAUUCGGACCUGGCUGGGUCUUGUUUGUGACUCUGUUGACUUUCCUACCCUUGCCGUAGGCGAUGCUUCUCUGCAUUGCUAUUCGGUUCUGUCGAGUGUUGGUCAGUAUCCAGGUCUCAGCAAAUCCUUGCACGGAAUCUGUACUUUGCCUGUGUGAUUUAUCCCCUGGGGAGGGAUUGAUUUCCGGUUCUGUACUGAUUUCUCUAGUUUCCAUCUUUUUGCCCUCACCAGGUCCAUCAGGUGCGAGCUCUGUUCCCCCUUUGGUAGCUUCUCGUUUGCCAUUUUCCUCUAUGGUUUUCUGGGUUUCAUUUCCGUAGCACCUUACUUUAUCCACACUUGACCUUAUUAUGGGCGUAUUGGCCAUGGAUUGGUACAUUGCGACUAGCUUUUAUCAGGCCACUACAGGUCAUUGAUUCUAUGUACUCUUUGUUGGGGACAAAGCAUGGUUCGUGUGUUCACUGCAUCCCAUUCUUCUUCUUUCAUCAGGUUCUGAGCUCCAGCUCGCAUGCAACAGCUGCCAGGUGGUUCGUGGGCUGAAUCGUUGGCGGGGUUACUUUGAUUCCUUCCUCUGUGAGGCUCAAUUCUGCAGGUGGUUCGUUCUUCUGAGUUAUCGUAGCUUAGCUAUGUGCAUGGUUCAUGAGCAGCGCAUGACCUAUAUACUCAUCAAUGUUCACUCUUGCUUCCAUCCCAUCGCUGUGGAGUGGAAGACUGAAGACGUUUCUUUUGUUGAGUUUGCGCCUGCGGUUCCAGUUUCUGGUUUGCGAUGCUUUUAUGUUGGGUACCUUUCCAACUUUUUGAGUGGAUUUUUCUCGUGGCCGGGUUGAUUCACAAUAUCCAGACUUCUUGUGCCUCUAUUGAGUGAUGGACUAAGUUUUGACUCUGGUCUGCAAUAAGCUUUUAUGACUAGCAAGAACCUGUUGGGAAAUGUUACGUGUAGAGGUACCCAGGUGCCUAGCGUCCAGGGAGGGGCCCACCAGAAAGAGACGUUUACAUUCAACACUUGAUUUUUAGUCCCUAAUCAAUAUAAAUCUACAGCAAUGAGUACUUUAAAUGUAUGUUUUAACACACUUUCUUAUACAUGUGUAUUAUCUCUUGAGCAGAUUUACCUCUAGCCUCAUAGACUCAGGAGUCCAGAGAACCAACACAGUGUAUGGUGGCUACAAUCUGAAGGUGACAAGAGUUGUCUUCCCCAAUGGUUCUAUAGACCCUUGGCAUGCACUUGGCGUUACGUCUGAUCUCAGUACUGAUGCCACCGCCAUUUUUAUAAAUGGAACAGCUCAUUGCGCCAACAUGUAUCCUGCUUCCCCCAGUGAUCCUCCACAGCUAAUAGAGGCAAGAGAGCAGAUUUUCCAGCUCAUUAACAAAUGGCUUCAGGAGUGAUAUGAGCUCUCAUAAAUGUGUUGCAUGGUCUGAUAAAUUCCUGCAAUAAAAUUUAAUAAUUUGAGAGAAUAUGCUUUUAGUAAAUCGUUUAAGAAUCCUCUAUACUCCAGUUGUGCUUCAGUUAUUAUUCGCAUACUUAUUCUAAAUUAGUUAAAAAGCCCAGCUUUAAUAGCAUUCCAGUGUUUGAUUCAACUUUUUGACAAUUAAAAAUUUGUAAAUUGAUUAAUAA